rnacentral:sRNA from 1 species
CCUUCUGGUCCGGAGCCUUCGGGUUAUCAAUUGCCGUUCCAGCGCAAGCAGGAACACCCUUCCCGCGGACACCAACUUGACCGAUGC